rnacentral:rRNA from 1 species
UGGGGAAUAUUGCACAAUGGGCGCAAGCCUGAUGCAGCGACGUUGCGUGGAGGAUGAAGGUCUUCGGAUUGUAAACUCCUGUUAAGUGAGAAAAAAGGGUCUGCAUGAACAAUGCAGGCAGAUGAUGUUAUCACUAGAGAAAGCACCGGCUAACUUCGUGCCAGCAGCCGCGGUAAUACGAAGGGUGCGAGCGUUAUUCGGAAUGACUGGGCGUAAAGGGUAUGUAGGCGGCAUUAUAAGUCAGCUGUAAAAUUCCCCAGCUUAACUGGGGGUAUGCGGAUGAAACUGUAGAGCUGGAGGUUGGCAGAGAGGAGUGGAAUUCUCGGAGUAGCGGUAAAAUGCGUAGAUCUCGAGAGGAACACCGAAGGCGAAGGCAGCUCCUUGGGCCAAAACUGACGCU